UACGGGGGGGGCAAGCGUUGUUCGGAAUUACUGGGCGUAAAGGGCUCGUAGGCGGCCAACUAAGUCGGAUGUGAAAUCCCCAGGCUUAACCUGGGAACUGCAUCCGAUACUGGAUGGCUUGAAACCGGGAGAGGGAUGCAGAAUUCCAGGUGUAGCGGUGAAAUGCGUAGAUAUCUGGAGGAAUACCGGUGGCGAAAGCGAUCUGCUGGACCUCUUCUGACGCUGAGGCGCGAAAGCCAGGGGAGCAAACGGG
rnacentral:rRNA from 1 species